UGAUUUUUAGUCAUAGAAAUUAGACAAGGUUAAAUUAAUAUUUGAAUAAGUAGUCUUCGUGUGAAAAUAAUCCAGGCUCUCCACUUUAAUACUUGUUUAUUGAUAUCAUAUACUUGCGACGUUUAGAUGAACACAAACUCUGUGUUCCUAAACUCCAAAAAAUAUUAGACGACACUUAAUUUGCAAAUAAUAAAUAAAAGAUAAUAAAAAUGACAUCAUAUGUCUUCAUCACUUUCUACAUCCAAGUACUCAUAAUUUGUGAUUUGGUCAUUUUAUAUGUCUUAACUAUUAUUGAUGGUAGAUUUAGCAUAUGGAAAUGGCACAUCUACCACUAUAAUGUUAUUGCCUAAGAAAACGUUUUGUUUUUAGCCAUACGCAAUAAUGCAUUCAAAGCACGAUUUUUAGGCAUUCACUGAGAAAGUAAGAACGAUUUUUAGGUAUUCACUGAGAUAGUAAGAGUAAGUUUGAAAAAAGAAGUGAUUUAAUCCAUCAUUCCAGUAAUCUUAGACACAAUUCCCAGUUAUAUGCCAAAUUUGAAGAGCUAAAAUGCAAUCUUGAACAAGCAACAAAAAGCUAAAGAGAGAAGACAGUGGCAUCACAGAAGUAAAUUAGUAAGAGACAACUGAAUGUGGCAUAAAGCUUGGUUGCAAUACGUAUUCCAAAUAUUGGUGAAAAGGAUUCACCAUGAAUGAACUGAAAGAGAAGAUAAAAUGAAACUGAGACGAAGUUAUCACAUUAAAAUCUUUCUUAAAAUAAACACAUUUAACCACCUCAGAUUGUCAGCAACAAAUAUUGAAAAGAGAGCACAGAGUAAACAGGUACAAAAUCCAAUAGGAGAAGAUUUAGAGCAGCAUUUUUCUUCUACUCUAGGGUUUUUUCUGGCCUAGAUAUUACUUUCAAUAGAGAUACUUUGACAAAUUCAACAGUAAAAAUUGAAGGUUACAAUUAUUAUUAUUAUUAUUUUAAGUGAACGAUCACACGACAGAGUCCCUAAAAUGAAGUAACGACUUAGCAUAUAUGGGUGCAAAAGGGAAAAAAGAAGUAUGAUGGUAGUGCUUAAGCAAAUGAGAAAUCUCACAAUGAAGCAAUAAGGAUUUUGUUUUCGAAUGAUAAAACGGAACUCAUUUUCUAAACUUGGAAAACGGCCUUACAAUUCAAAUAUAUGAUUUCACUCUAAACGGAAAGGAAAAAUCUCCUUGUUAUUUUGCUUGUUCGAUAGAUCUACUAGGAAAAAUCCUAGUUACAAUGACAAUUUAUGAUUUCAUUCAAAUUUAGUCUCAAAUUGUUUUCCUUAGUUGCUAUUCCUGAAGUUCAACAUAGAAUUGAAAGAAUUUAGCCACUCUCCCAUCACUUCAUUGACUUCUUAACAGCAAAGUCUGAUCAACAAAUUCCCCUUUUUCUCAACUAAAUAAAAUAGUCAGAGAAGCAAUCUUAUGGAUUCCAUAGGGAACCAAGCGAUCAUAUCACGAACAUGAUUAUUAAGGAAUUAAUAAGUGUCUAAGUGGUCUUAGAUUCUAAAUUAAAUAUCAAAAUCUUAGAACAUGCAUAUCGGUUGUAUAUUUUUCUUACGAAAUAAGUAUUACAUUUGUGGAUUUAAUGAUCUCCAUAUCAAGAUAAUAUCUAAGCAAUCCAAGAUCUUCCAUCUCGAAUUCCUCUUCUGUAAUCUUCGUGUGCCUCUCUAGAGACGUAUAUGACACAACAUUUUCACCUAUCAAAAUAAUUGCAUUUGCACACACUAUAAGAAUCCAAGAUAAGGCAUGGUUGUUG
rnacentral:lncRNA from 1 species